rnacentral:rRNA from 1 species
AUUGGGCCCGACGUCGCAUGCUCCCGGCCGCCAUGGCGGCCGCGGGAAUUCGAUUAGAGUUUGAUCAUGGCUCAGAACGAACGCUGGCGGCAUGCCUAACACAUGCAAGUCGAACGAAGGCUUCGGCCUUAGUGGCGCACGGGUGCGUAACGCGUGGGAAUCUGCCCCUUGGUUCGGAAUAACAGUUAGAAAUGACUGCUAAUACCGGAUGACGACGUAAGUCCAAAGAUUUAUCGCCGAGGGAUGAGCCCGCGUAGGAUUAGCUAGUUGGUGUGGUAAAGGCGCACCAAGGCGACGAUCCUUAGCUGGUCUGAGAGGAUGAUCAGCCACACUGGGACUGAGACACGGCCCAGACUCCUACGGGAGGCAGCAGUGGGGAAUAUUGGACAAUGGGCGAAAGCCUGAUCCAGCAAUGCCGCGUGAGUGAUGAAGGCCUUAGGGUUGUAAAGCUCUUUUACCCGGGAUGAUAAUGACAGUACCGGGAGAAUAAGCUCCGGCUAACUCCGUGCCAGCAGCCGCGGUAAUACGAAUCACUAGUGAAUUCGCGGCCGCCUGCAGGUCGACCAUAUGGGAGAGCUCCC